rnacentral:rRNA from 1 species
GACGAACGCUGGCGGCGUGCUUAACACAUGCAAGUCGAACGGAAAGGCCCUGCUUUUGUGGGGUGCUCGAGUGGCGAACGGGUGAGUAACACGUGAGUAACCUGCCCUUGACUUUGGGAUAACUUCAGGAAACUGGGGCUAAUACCGGAUAGGAGCUCCUGCUGCAUGGUGGGGGUUGGAAAGUUUCGGCGGUUGGGGAUGGACUCGCGGCUUAUCAGCUUGUUGGUGGGGUAGUGGCUUACCAAGGCUUUGACGGGUAGCCGGCCUGAGAGGGUGACCGGCCACAUUGGGACUGAGAUACCGCCCAGACUCCUACGGGAGGCAGCAGUGGGGAAUAUUGCACAAUGGGCGGAAGCCUGAUGCAGCAACGCCGCGUGCGGGAUGGCGGCCUUCGGGUUGUAAACCGCUUUCGCCUGUGACGAAGCGUGAGUGACGGUAAUGGGUAAAGAAGCACCGGCUAACUACGUG